rnacentral:rRNA from 1 species
GAAUGUCAAAACGACUCUCGGCAACGGAUAUCUCGGCUCUCGCAUCGAUGAAGAACGUAGCGAAAUGCGAUACUUGGUGUGAAUUGCAGAAUCCCGUGAACCAUCGAGUCUUUGAACGCAAGUUGCGCCCGAAGCCAUCCGGCCGAGGGCACGUCUGCCUGGGCGUCACGCAUCGCGUCGCCCCCUCCCUCCGUGGCGGGGGCGGACAAUGGCCCCCCGUGCGCGCCAGCGCGCGGCCGGCCCAAAUGAGAUCCCCCGGCGACGCGCGUCGCGACCAGUGGUGGUUGAAACGCUCAGCUCGCGCGCUGUCAUUCGCGCCGCGCGCCGUCGUCCGGUAGGGAAUGACCCCGAACGCGCGCCCCCGGCGCGCAUCCGACGCGACCCCAGGUCAGGCGGGAUCACCCG